rnacentral:lncRNA from 1 species
GUGACCACGCCCUGUUGCUGGUGAAGCUAACGGUGCAGAUAAGCAGAAGCACAAUGCAGCAUGUUCCUACAGAGAGGUGAACUGCACAAGGAAUGCAGGUAACAGCUGCUUUCAAGGUCAAGUCUGGAAUGUUCCAAGGCACUGGACAUGAGACAUUCAAGAGCCUGGAGAAGAGACAAACGUUGUCUGUGCAAGGCCAGAGACAAGUAAAGGAGCCAUGGCUACAGUUUGUGGACCAGUAGUCUCUGGACCCCCAGUCUUCAGACUCUUAGGCCAGGGCUUGAGUCUCAGAUUUUGUUGUUUGGCACAGUGAGUGAGCUGGGCAUCGAUAUGGAGUCAGGUAGAAUAGAAAACAGGACUUACACUGAUACAUUACCUUGGUAAAGCUGUUGUGAGUGAAUACAAGGUUGGAUGAAUCAAGAACCCUUGGCAACAAUUGAUGCUCAAGAAGGAGGUGACUGUCCGAGAAGUAAUGAUGCCACAUCAAGUUGGCUCAAUAAAGAUGCGCUUUGUGCAUUUGCUUGCUUCA